CAUCUCCACUUUUUUCUCCAACCCCACCACUUCCACCUUCUUCUCCACCAUCUCCACCUUCUUCCCCACCAUCCCCAUCUUCUUUAAAGCUUUUGAAAGAGAGAGAGAGAGAGGGAAAGAGAGAGAGAAGAAGGAGAAGAAGGAAGAAAGCUCACCUGAGUUCGUCGCCGGAGCAACCGUGCGCCGUGACCACGUUCAGCUUGCCACCACCGAUAAACACCCUAGACUACCAUCGUGUUCCUCUCGUCGAGACGAAUUCGUAGCCACCAAAAAUGCCUCAAUCGGAGUCCGGACGAAGCCGCACGCGCCUCCGGAAAUUUCGCCUCUGCGCGCGCGUGAGGUACACGCGCCGCCGCCGGAAAACGUCGCCACCGCCGGACCACCGUCCCCCGCCGCCGGAAUAUCCGCUGUUGCCGCCGUUGACCGUCGCCGGUAACUCGCCGGUGACUCGGUCAACUCGUCCGAGUCAACUCAAUUUGGAGUCCAUUUGAGCAGCUGGAGGUCAUAUAUACCACUUCUCUUCAUUGCUAAGGUGAGACCGACGAGCAGGAGUGAUUAUCGGACCGGUGCUAUUGGGCUUUUGGGUUUCUAUCGUUUUUACCGCUUUUAUCUUUAUCGGGCCUUUAGGCCUUUGGACUUUUAUCGUUUAUGUUAUUCCUAUUUCAGACUUUCGGUUUAUGUCGUAUUUUAUAUUUCGGAUGUUAUCGAUGUUGGGUUUUUUAGGCCUUUUGGUAUCGUAUUGACUUUUAUAUUAUGAUAUGAAGAUUAUUAUUAUUUGAGUUGUAUUAUUAUUUUAUUUCCACUUUUAUCAAUUUAUUAUAUUUCAAAAGUGGUGGGUGCCACAUUUUGGUAUCAGAGCUAUUUACUUAUCGUAACAUUUUAUUAUGUAAAUCGGGGUGUCACAAUUUGGCAUCAGAGCGGGUUCCGUCCCGGCUCCGACCCGGGACGGCGAUUUUGGAGACUCGGUUUUAUUCGGUUUUGACGGUUUUAGACAAUUUCAAAAUAUUUUCGGGGAUUUGGGAAUUUUGAAAAUGAAAAUAAAUCGCAUCUUUCCGUUCGGUAUCACUCCUUUCUAAUCCAAUUGUCUUUUUAUUGACUAUGAGUUACUCAUCGUCAUCCGCUCUCUAGCUAACAGGAUUUCGGCCAUAUGUUCGACAUAUGGAUGAUGAUGUCACAAUUGAACGGAUUGCUCAGGUGUGUAUCAGUUUCGUCAGCUUAUGCCAUGAAUUCGGGGACGAAUUCCUUAUAAGUGGGGGAGAAUUGUAAUGACCCACCACUCCCACCAUCUCCACUUUUUUCUCCAACCCCACCACUUCCACCUUCUUCUCCACCAUCUCCACCUUCUUCCCCACCAUCCCCAUCUUCUUUAAAGCUUGAGAAAGAGAGAGAGAGAGAGGGAAAGAGAGAGAGAAGAAGGAGAAGAAGGAAGAAAGCUCACCUGAGCUCGUCGCCGGAGCAACCGUGCGCCGUGACCACGUUCAGCUUGCCACCACCGAUAAACACCCUAGACUACCAUCGUGUUUCUCUCGUCGAGACGAAUCCGUAGCCACCAAAAAUGCCUCAAUCGGAGUCCGGACGAAGCCGCACGCGCCUCCGGAAGUUUCGCCUCUGCGCGCGCGUGAGGUACACGCGCCGCCGCCGGAAAACGUCGCCACCGCCGGACCACCGUCCCCCGCCGCCGGAAUAUCCGCCGUUGCCGCCGUUGACCGUCGCCGGUAACUCGCCGGUGACUCGGUCAACUCGUCCGAGUCAACUCAAUUUGGAGUCCAUUUGAGCAGCUGGAGGUCAUAUAUACCACUUCUCUUCAUUGCUAAGGUGAGACCGACGAGCAGGAGUGAUUAUCGGACCGGUGCUAUUGGGCUUUUGGGUUUCUAUCGUUUUUACCGCUUUUAUCUUUAUCGGGCCUUUAGGCCUUUGGACUUUUAUCGUUUAUGUUAUUCCUAUUUCAGACUUUCGGUUUAUGUCGUAUUUUAUAUUUCGGAUGUUAUCGAUGUUGGGUUUUUUAGGCCUUUUGGUAUCGUAUUGACUUUUAUAUUAUGAUAUGAAGAUUAUUAUUAUUUGAGUUGUAUUAUUAUUUUAUUUCCACU